rnacentral:rRNA from 1 species
GACAGAGGGUGCAAACGUUGUUCGGAAUUACUGGGCGUAAAGCGCGUGUAGGCGGCUCGGCAAGUCGGAUGUGAAAGCCCUGGGCUUAACCUAGGAAGUGCAUCCGAAACUCCCGAGCUUGAGUUCUGGAGAGGAAGGCGGAAUUCUCGGUGUAGAGGUGAAAUUCGUAGAUAUCGAGAGGAACACCGGUGGCGAAGGCGGCCUUCUGGACAGUGACUGACGCUGAGACGCGAAAGCGUGGGGAGCAAACAGG